GUGCUCACUUUGGCAGCUCAUAUACCAAAAUUGGAACCUUGCAGGGAGGGUUAGCAUGGCCCCUGGGCAAAGAUGACAUACAAAUUAGGGAAUCGUUCCAAAAUUUA